rnacentral:rRNA from 1 species
AACGCGAAGAACCUUACCUGGGUUUGACAUGCACAGGACGCAUCCAGAGAUGGGUGUUCCCUUGUGGCCUGUGUGCAGGUGGUGCAUGGCUGUCGUCAGCUCGUGUCGUGAGAUGUUGGGUUAAGUCCCGCAACGAGCGCAACCCUUGUCUCAUGUUGCCAGCACGUGAUGGUGGGGACUCGUGAGAGACUGCCGGGGUCAACUCGGAGGAAGGUGGGGAUGACGUCAAGUCAUCAUGCCCCUUAUGUCCAGGGCUUCACACAUGCUACAAUGGCCGGUACAAAGGGCUGCGAUGCCGUGAGGCUUAGCGAAUCCUUUUAAAGCCGGUCUCAGUUCGGAUCGGGGUCUGCAACUCGACCCCGUGAAGUCGGAGUCGCUAGUAAUCGCAGAUCAGCAACGCUGCGGUGAAUACGUUCCCGGGCCUUGUACACACCGCUACAGU